GGGGCCACAAGCAAUUCAUGCCUUAUUCAGGGGAGGAGCCUGGCCUCAUAAGCUCAUGUGCGGUGGCCCUGGUUUUCAAUUGUGAGGGAGAAACCUGCUUGGAGAUCCCCUCUCUUUGCUGAGAGCUUUCCUUUCACUUAAUAAAUUCUUCCCUCCUCACCCUUCAAUAUGACCACGUGCCUAAUUUUUCCUGGUCAUGAGACAAGAACUCUGAUUUAGCUGAACUAGGGAGCAAAAAUUCUGCAUCAUUUUGGCCUAUACGGGGGUUUGUCAGAAGGGAAAGAAAACUGGAUCUGAGGCAGAUGACAAUGGAAGUUAAGAGACAUAGCACAGAUGGGUAAUUGUGUCCCUGUGCUACAGCACACUCCCCUUGGAUGCAUCCUCCAAACUGGGAAAAAUUAAUAUCCCCUACCUUAAACUGGUUGCCUUAGAAUUGAACUCAGAGGAAGGGAACCUAGAAGGAUGACAUGCUGGAAAAAGGGCAAAAGUUUCAUCAUUCAGAUGUUGGCCUCUCUCUACCUGUACAAACUGAGUUAAAGAAACUUUUAUUUUGAGCUAUUUACAGUCUUUAAUAAUUGAGUAAGUUAUACUCCUGUGAACAAAAUUUGGAGCAUGUUUGUUUCUCUCUGCCUGGUUCCUCUAGAAUUUGGAAACUAUCUGUGAGUAUUCUUAACUUAUAGCAAUAUGGUUAUUUGCAUCAGUGCAAUAAGAAUCCAUUUUCUUUUGCUACAGGAUGCAAUUGGAGAAGCUGGUUGUUUUACCAAGGCUUUGACUGGAAGGGUAUGCUUUCCUUUAAGGAAUCAAGCUCAACUUGCAGAGCUGAUAAAAGCCCCUUGGGAAAACUGGCCUCAUACCUUGUCUACACAGUCCCUGUACAGGGUUCCUACCCUGUAUGGGGAGUAAAGAAUGUCACUUUCUAACAGGCCCAGGAACCCCAUGUCCUUGGGACCUCAAGAAGAAAGGAAUUUACCCAACUCAUAGGUAUUUGGGGUACAAACACAUGGCUAGGCUCAACUUUAAAAGGUGUUAUCUGAGAUUCCUUGUGGAACAGAGUUCCUUCAAAGCCAGUUUGAAAAGGCUAUGUAAAAAUAAUUAUUUUUGUUGCACUUUAUGCAAACAAGCAGGCCAAAUAUAAGACUAAAGUUUAUUUUGCAAACAACUCAGUCCUAUCAUGAUUUGUUUUUAACAAAAAUGAGGACUGGAGAGAGAGAAAUUAUGUCUCAAACCUUAUCAUACAUCUGUCAUUAAAUUCUAGACCAAUUAGUUGUUUUAAAGUUUUUUUGCCUACAUUUUAGACUAACCCUGUUUAUUCCUGUGAAUCAACUAGUGAUCUCCUCCUGCAGCUCAGAAGAAAAAAAAGGGAUGGAUAAUGUAAAAAUCUGAAUCAAUAUUCCAGUUCUGGGCAAUUAUCCUGCAAAUCCUGCCAGGUGAUAGGAGUAAAUAGGGUGCCCAUAACCUGGAGGUUUCUUUUUGGGAAAAUAAGACCAAGAGAGCUAACAAAAGCCAAACCCCAUGCACCCAAAUCUUAGCAGGUAACUAUAGCCACCUGUUUUCUGGACAUGCUGGGAGCCUCGGGAUUUUUCAGGCUGCCUUUACCCCCCAACCUUUUGUCUCAUUUUGAUACAAGUCUUCUAAUAACCCAGUUUGUCUCUUCUCGUCUUCAGACCAUCAAACUCCAAAGUUCAUGCAACCAGAGCCGCAGAUGAUGGCCCAUUUUUUACUGGAGAUCCUUAGACAAGCUUCUGAGGGAAAACUGACUGCCAUCUUCUCAAAACAGCACUCCCUGUCAGCAGGAAGCAGUUAAGAUAGAUCUUUGGGCCAGGCAUGGUGGCUCACACCUGUAAUCCCAGCACUUUGGGAGGCCGAGGCGGGCGGAUCACAAGGCCAGGGGAUCGAGACCUUCCUGGCUAACACAGUGAAACCCCAUCUCUACUAAAAAAAUACGAAAAAUUAGC
rnacentral:lncRNA from 10 species